rnacentral:tRNA from 1 species
GGCUCGGUAGCACAACAGCAGUGCGACGGUUUCAUACGCCGUGUCCGUGCGGGUGCGAAUCCCGCCCGAGCCCCCA